rnacentral:rRNA from 1 species
GAUGAACGCUGGCGGCGUGCUUAACACAUGCAAGUCGAACGAAGCACUUAAGUUUGAAUCUUCGGAUGAAGACUUUUGUGACUGAGUGGCGGACGGGUGAGUAACGCGUGAGCAAUCUGCCUUUCAGAGGGGGAUAACAGCCGGAAACGGCUGCUAAUACCGCAUAAUGCAUCGGAUUCGCAUGUUUCUGAUGCCAAAGAUUAUAUCGCUUGAAGAUGGACUCGCGUCCGAUUAGCCAGUUGGCGGGGUAACGGCCCACCAAAGCGACGAUCGGUAGCCGGACUGAGAGGUUGAACGGCCACAUUGGGACUGAGACACGGCCCAG